GAUGAACGCUGGCGGCGUGCCUAACACAUGCAAGUCGAGCGAACGGAGGAGUAGCGUGCUUUUCUGAAGUGAGCGGCGGACGGGUGAGUAACACGUGGAUAACCUAUCUUUAAGAAUGGGAUAACUUCGGGAAACCGGAUCUAAUACCGGACAUUAUUUUGAACCGCAUGGUUCAAAAGUGAAAGACGGUGUUGCUGUCACUUAUAGAUGGAGCAGUGCUGCAUUAGCUAGUUGGUAAGGUAACGGCUUACCAAGGCAAUGAUGUAUAGCCGACCUGAGAGGAUGAUCGGCAACUCUGAAGCUAGGACGCGGAGCCGACUCGUAAGUGAGACAGCGCCAGGAAAUCUACGGGAAGAAGCGAUGGCGAAUAGUGGCAACGGGGCGCGAGUCAUAUACAGCUACGGCUCGUAAGUCACUAUUGUUAGGGAAUAGCAAAUGUGUUAGUAACGGGGCACAUCUUGCGGGUACCUUAGAAGAAAGCCCGGGCAACUUACGU
rnacentral:rRNA from 1 species